rnacentral:rRNA from 1 species
UCUGGCUCAGGAUGAACGCUGGCGGCGUGCUUAAUACAUGCAAGUCGAACGAAGCACUUAUGACAGAUCCCCUCGGGGUGAAGACGUUGUGACUGAGUGGCGGACGGGUGAGUAACGCGUGGGUAACCUGCCUUAUGCAGGGGGACAACAGUUGGAAACGACUGCUAAUACCGCAUAAGCGCACGGCACCGCAUGGUGCAGUGUGAAAAGAUUUAUCGGCAUAAGAUGGACCCGCGUCUGGAUUAGGGUAGUUGGUGAGGUAACGGCCCACCAAGCCGACGAUCAGUAGCCGACUUGAGAGAGUGAUCGGCCACAUUGGGACUGAGACACGGCCCAGACUCCUACGGGAGGCAGCAGUAGGGAAUAUUGCACAAUGGGGGAAACCCUGAUGCAAGCGACGCCGCGUGAGUGAUGAAGUAUUUCGGUACGUAAAGCUCUAUCAGCAGGGAAGAUAAUGACGGUACCUGACUAAGAAGCCCCGGCUAACUACGUGCCAGCCGCCGC